UACGUAGGGCGCAAGCGUUGUCCGGAAUUAUUGGGCGUAAAGAGCUCGUAGGCGGCCUGUUGCGUCCGCUGUGAAAUCCCGGGGCUUAACCCCGGGCCUGCAGUGGAUACGGGCAGGCUGGAGGCAGGCAGGGGAGAACGGAAUUCCCGGUGUAGCGGUGAAAUGUGCAGAUAUCGGGAGGAACACCGGUGGCGAAGGCGGAUCUCUGGGCCGAUACUGACGCUGAGGAGCGAAAGCGUGGGGAGCGAACAGG
rnacentral:rRNA from 1 species